GUGGGGAAUCUUGCGCAAUGGGCGAAAGCCUGACGCAGCCAUGCCACGUGAAUGAUGAAGGUCUUAGGAUUGUAAAAUUCUUUCACCGGGGACGAUAAUGACGGUACCCGGAGAAGAAGCCCCGGCUAACUUCGUGCCAGCAGCCGCGGUAAUACGAAGGGGGCUAGCGUUGCUCGGAAUUACUGGGCGUAAAGGGGGCGUAGGCGGAUCGUUAAGUCAGGGGUGAAAUCCCAGAGCUAAACUCUGGAACUGCCCUUGAUACUGGCGAUCUUGAGUGUGAGAGAGGUAUGUGGAACUCCGAGUGUAGAGGUGAAAUUCGUAGAUAUUCGGAAGAACACCAGUGGCGAAGGCGACAUACUGGCUCAUUACUGACGCUGAGGCGCGAAAGCGUGGGGAGCAAACAGGAUUAGAAACCCCUGUAGUCC
rnacentral:rRNA from 1 species